GGACCCGGCCCUGGAGGACCCGAUCCUGGAGGACCCGGCCCUGGAGGACCCUGUCCUGGAGGACCCGGUCCUAGAGGACCCGGACCCCCGGACCUUCUGGACUGGACUCCUCUGUAGAUGCUUUAAACAAGCAGACUGAGAGAGGUGUAAAAUACGUGUUUGUGACAUGAAUGAUAUUUAAUUUAGUGACUGAUGAACCGGCGUGUUGGGCUGAAGAGAAGAAGCUCCAACAAACGUGGAAUUAUUGUGUAACCUCGACGUGAUGAGUCUGAGCAGGGCUGCACCUCUCUCUACAAUAACAACAAUAAUAAUAAUGAUAAUAAUAAUAGUAAUGGGUCAGAGGUCGUAUGAAUGCACAGACACACUUCACUGCAUCAACUGGAACUGAGAAAAUAAACAGGAAGUAUAAUAAUAAACAUUAAUAACCUGGUAUAUAUAUAUUUAAGCAUUUUAUUAAACGUGAUGUUAAAUAUCUUCCUGCUGGAAAACAUCCUGAGAAACACGAUUAAUUGAGCCACGACAAAAACAUUUCCUGUGACCCCCCUUCAAAAUAAAAGCCUCUCCAUGUCAGACUCAUCAAACAAACAACAUGUGAUGGUCUUGACUGGGACCUGGUUUUGACCUGGACCAGGUCUUGGAGAUGUGGGGUGUUGCUGAGUAUCAAACUUUAACUUAAACUAAAACCUAAAUUGUUUGUGCAGAUACGACCAGUGUAACAGGAAGUAGUUUUAUUUUGAAAGGUUGUGUGUGCAGCCCUGCUGUGGUGUGACCCGCUUCACUUCCUGUCUGUCUUUGUGUCCUCCGACUGACUGCAGAGACGACCGGACGUCUCGUCUCGUGUGUUUUUUAAAGCCCAGUGGAUUUUUGUCACAAGUGAAUCUGGUUUUAAUAUUCAGUUAUCGGAGACGUUCAUAACUUUACUGUAAAUGAAUAAACUUGUGGUUGUAAAGACGCCGCGGCGUGGAUCAGCUGAUCUCGGCGAGCUGCGGCGGCGGCGGACGCCUGUAGAUUUGUACAGAAACGUUUCCUUCCCGUCUCAUGUCCUCGGAGCUUCAGUGUGUUUGAGCGCCCCCUGCUGUAGACCUGGAUGAUAACCUGUUAGGUUUGUUGACACUAAUUGGACGUGCAAAUAAAAAAACAAGUUAGCCCUGAA